UACAGAGGGGGCAAGCGUUAUUCGGAAUUAUUGGGCGUAAAGGGCGCGUAGGCGGCUUGGCAAGUGGAAGGUGAAAUCCCUCGGCUUAACCGAGGAACUGCCCUCCAAACUGCUUGGCUUGAGACCGGGAGAGGUGAGUGGAAUUCCACGUGUAGCGGUGAAAUGCGUAGAGAUGUGGAGGAACACCAGUGGCGAAGGCGGCUUUCUGGUCUGUAACUGACGCUGAGGCGCGAAAGCGUGGGGAGCAAACAGG
rnacentral:rRNA from 1 species